UGGGAAGGUGGAUCCUGGUGGGGAGGUGGAUCCUGGUGGGGAGGUGGAUCCUGGAUGGGAAGGUGGAUCCUGGUGGGGAGGUGGAUCCUGGAUGGGAAGGUGGAUCC